AGAGCCGCUAGGGUGUGGAGGGUCCAGGAAGGCGGUCACAGACGCUGCCUCAGCUAGCUGCCUUCUCAGGUCACAGAGCCGUGCAGAUCCAGGUCCUGGGUGACCACUCUGUCCCGAAUGAGCAAGAGACGUACCUAGUCCUGACGACAAGGGACAACGGCCUUAACGGGCCUGGAAGUGCCAGUAGAACGUAUGUCUGAAACUCUCCCCUUUCUGCCUGAAGUUAGAAGACUACAUGUUGAAAGUUUGCUUUGAGCUUGGUUCUUCUUGAACAUGCAGCUUCAAAUCAAUGUCUGUCUGCUCAUAAGUUCAACCAAACCAGGACUGCCACUGGCUGCUAAAGGGAAGAAAAGGCUCCAUGAAGAAUUCCAGCGUACCUCCUGCCCUGGCAGCCAUUCUGCUGUUUCUAUGGAAACAUUCACCAGAUAGCAGCAUGCUAUACUGUGCAAGUGAAGAAGAAGGCAUCUUCCUUUCAUCACCACAUCUAGAGUGUGACCACUUCACAGAAUGAAAGAAUGUGGUGAACACAGUUCUUUAUUCUGACAGAUAAAUCGUUCAAGAGAAAGGGGCCAGAUGCCAGUGACAUUUUCUUGGACUUCCCAGCCUUUAGAACCAUGAUCCAAAUAAACUUGUAUUGUUUAUAAA
rnacentral:lncRNA from 1 species